rnacentral:rRNA from 1 species
UGGGCAACCUGCCCCUCUCUCUGGGAUAACCCCGGGAAACCAGAGCUAAUACCGGAUACUCCGGCUGGAUCGCAUGGUCCGGCCGGGAAAGGUCCGCCGGAGAGGGAUGGGCCCGCGGCCUAUCAGCUUGUUGGUGGGGUCAUGGCUCACCAAGGCGAUGACGGGUAGCUGGUCUGAGAGGACGACCAGCCACACUGGAACUGAGAUACGGCCCAGACUCCGUACGGGAGCA